rnacentral:tRNA from 1 species
GUCCUUAUGGUGUAAUUAACACGUUAGGUUUUCAACCUAAAGAUAAAGUACUAUGCUUUUAAGAACU